AUUGAACGCUGGCGGCAUGCCUUACACAUGCAAGUCGAACGGCAGCGCGGGGCAACCUGGCGGCGAGUGGCGAACGGGUGAGUAAUAUAUCGGAACGUGCCCUGGAGUGGGGGAUAACGUAGCGAAAGUUACGCUAAUACCGCAUACGAUCUACGGAUGAAAGUGGGGGAUCGCAAGACCUCAUGCUCGUGGAGCGGCCGAUAUCUGAUUAGCUAGUUGGUAGGGUAAAAGCCUACCAAGGCAUCGAUCAGUAGCUGGUCUGAGAGGACGACCAGCCACACUGGAACUGAGACACGGUCCAGACUCCUACGGGAGGCAGCAGUGGGGAAUUUUGGACAAUGGGCGCAAGCCUGAUCCAGCAAUGCCGCGUGAGUGAAGAAGGCCUUCGGGUUGUAAAGCUCUUUUGUCAGGGAAGAAACGGUGUUUUCUAAUACAGAAUGCUAAUGACGGUA
rnacentral:rRNA from 1 species